UUUUUUUUUUUUUUUUUGGGAUUAAGCAAAUCUAAAUAUUGCAAACUAAUACUGUGGAUACAUGUAAAAUAGCAAAGGAAAAACACCAAUCAAAGUCUCCAAUCACGUUGAUAAGUGGAGAAUAAUAGGAAGUCAAUUCGUUCAAUAGUUCCGAUCAAGUGGGUUUUAAGGCUAAAAUUAUAAAGGUAACAGCAACAAAAAAACUUUAAAUGAUGCAAUUUUAAAAUGAAGUAGUAGUACAAACCAACAAUAAAUAGAGAUCAGGGACUUCCUGUUUGUCCAAUUGCAAAGGCAGUGCCCAUGGAAGCUUGAAGUUGUCGGCGAUGUACUCACGAGAUCUUAGUCCAAUCGAUAGUGGUGCGAUCAAUAUUACUAUUCCAAUUCACACAAAUGGAUGGCUUCAAUAGUCAGUGCACUAAC
rnacentral:lncRNA from 1 species